rnacentral:misc_RNA from 1 species
GAUCAUUACUGUGAUUUAGUACUACACUGCGUGAGCGGAACGAAAACAAAAACACCUAAAAUGUGGAAUAUAGCAUAUAGUCGACAAGAGAAAUCUACGAAAAACAAACAAAACUUUCAACAACGGAUCUCUUGGUUCUCGCAUCGAUGAAGAGCGCAGCGAAAUGCGAUACCUAGUGUGAAUUGCAGCCAUCGUGAAUCAUCGAGUUCUUGAACGCACAUUGCGCCCCUCGGCAUUCCGGGGGGCAUGCCUGUUUGAGCGUCGUUUCCAUCUUGCGCGUGCGCAGAGUUGGGGGAGCGGAGCGGACGACGUGUAAAGAGCGUCGGAGCUGCGACUCGCCUGAAAGGGAGCGAAGCUGGCCGAGCGAACUAGACUUUUUUUCAGGGACGCUUGGCGGCCGAGAGCGAGUGUUGCGAGACAACAAAAAGCUCGACCUCAAAUCAGG